rnacentral:rRNA from 1 species
UACAUAGGUCUCAAGCGUUGUUCGGAUUCAUUGGGCGUAAAGGGUGCGUAGGCGGCGCGUUAAGUCGGGUGUGAAAUCUCGGAGCUUAACUCCGAAACUGCAUUCGAUACUGCCGUGCUUGAGGACUGGAGAGGAGACUGGAAUUUACGGUGUAGCGGUGAAAUGCGUAGAUAUCGUAAGGAAGACCAGUGGCGAAGGCGGGUCUGUGGACAGUACCUGACGCUGAGGCACGAAGGCCAGGGGAGCAAACGGG